rnacentral:lncRNA from 1 species
GUAGAAAGCUGUUUACGGUGGAAGGCAGUUGGGCAUCCCCUUAGGCAAGUGAGCUCAUAUUAACAAUCGCUGGGAUUCAUGAGUGUGCCGGAUACUUGCACACGCUUGAUUUGGAAUCAUCACAAGAACUCUGCAAAGUGUGCAUCCUUGUGUCUGUGAGGAAAUGAGGCCAGGGAUGAGGAGGAGGGGCUUCGCGGGGACAAGGCCGAGUUCAUGCUCUUUCCGCUGCGCAGUGUGGCCUCUGUAAUGAUUUAUCUCUUGUUCUAGAAAACAGAAAUGUUUGAUUUUUUUUUUAUAUGGCCAAGUAUCAUUUUGGGGAAACCAUUAAAAUUCGAGUUGCUGCGUUUAGUCCUAGAACUAUAUUUGAUUAAAAAGGGAGAUAAGGGAGACGAAUCAGUUAUCGCUUUCAGACAGUCCUUAGACGUCUUGAUUUUUCUUUUUAUUGUGAAGGAAAACCAACAACGUUUUAAAAAGGCUGUAAUUCAAGUCGUAUGCUUACGUAAUUCUUCUUCUUUUUUUAGAAGAGAGACUUUUUUUCUUUUUUGUUUAACCCAUAUUCAUCUAGAGUGCUGGGGGCAGAGCCCCAGAGACUCUUCUGUAUUAAUUAGUUCUUCCCUUCAUGUACGAAUACCUUCAGGGGCACUAAGCAUAUUCAUCAUUUAUACCUCAGUUAGAGUUUUCUCUGACACACCUGCUUCCCUCUUAGCAUCUGUGACUUGCCUUCCAAGUUUAAAAAAAAAAAAAGCGUUCUUUUUUUUUUUUAAGCUUGGGCAAUGUUGAGGGAUGGAGAGAUGUGACUUCCAUGCCUUCCAGGAAGAAUUUGGAACCACAGAUGGGCAGCAUGGAUUCACUGGAACCACAGAACCAGCAGGGAAGGGAGCCAGAAGGUGGGGACACGGAACCGGUAGAGAGGGAGUUGGGACAGUGUCAGAGUGAAAUUUCUCAAUUUCCAUUCCACCCGCCCCCCCGCCCCGCCCCGACCCCUCAUGGCUGUUCCUGGCCAGGGUGCCCCCAAAUCCCGAUACAACAUUGUCAGCUGAACACUGUCUUAACAGUCCCGACCGUCACCAAGCACUGCGCUGGUGGGGGCGGUGGGGGGGGGUGGUGGCUCACGACGCAUCUUUCAGUGUGAUUCCACACACGUGCCUCUGUCGUUUCGCUCCAUCCCUUUUCACACGGACCCUCUGCCUUUACCUGCACAACCCAGAAGGGUCACAUCCUAGACUGCCCCCACAGAACUGGGGCAGGUACCUCAGCGUCAAACCCAUCGUGAGGAUGACUCUGAAUCUGUUGACUUUUCACUUGGUUUCUGGCCCUUGGACUUGUAUUACCUGGCUCUGGUGGUGUGGGUUUCUUGGUCCCUAACUGCUGACUUCGUUUAUAACCUACACGCUUAAUCUUGACUCCUGAUAGGCGCGGGAUGUCUCAGUGGUCAUUUGGCUUCCGAGCCCUAUUGGCUUUUCUGAUGCCCAGCUCCUACCUGUAAUUCUUAGAUUUGUUUUAUUUUUCUGCCCGGCUUCCCACCCUGGUCCAGGAUGCCUCCUCAGCAGCUAUCCUGACCCAGUGGGGAGAUUCGAUAUCAUUGAACAGCUAAGGUAUGCAAGAGGACCACGGAAGGGUCGACAACCUCACGUUACCAUCUCGCAACUGGCAGAAUCAUCACGGCCUUUUUGAUGACGGAGCCAUUUUAUAUGUAACAAGAGUUCACAGAACGCUUGAACAGGAGAAAUGUUUUGUAAUCAAGGAGCAGUAAUUGUUAUUCUUUCCAGUUGUUGAGUUAGCUAUGCCUCUAUAAAUUAUAACGUAGUGUUCCAAAUUUAUAUUGAGUUCCUGCGGUGUCCUGAAAUUGGGGUCAGCCCACCUCUCCAAAGAAGACCAGACAUGUUCCUGUGAUGCGGGUUCAUGAAUGAUAAUUUCAAUCGCUUCUUCCUCAUUCUAAAAGCGAACAAAAGUCAGCGUCCCCACAGAGCCUAGAUUUCUGAAGUAACUUCACCUGUGUGAAAUCCCAACUUAUCUUGAUAGGAUAUUAUCAAAGGAAGGGAAAUUUCCCAUCCAGGAUAAGUAAAAACAAAUCAAAACAAAACAAAACAAAACAAAACUCAAUAUCUGAUUCCCAGCAAAGCUCUGGCACUUUGUCUCACAGGUUUGUUGAGAAUUUAUAACCAUGGUUGAUUUCUUGGGCAUUAAUUUCUUACCACUUUCUGGGAAUCUAUUGAGGCAGAUGCAAAUUAGGAUAGGGUGGGUCCUCAAAUAUAGAUUCUUUCAGACUACUGUUCUUAAGAAUUCACAUUGAGCUUAUUUUUAAACUUAUAACAUUAUGACAGAGAGGUCAAUGAGUCAACUCUUUGAGUUCAUGAUGACUUUAAGGGCAUGCCAUCGACCACAUUUCUAACUCAAAUCAAGCUAUUUUAGGUGUGGUUCUCAAAAUCAUCGAUCUCCGCAAUGUCGCACUCGACUGCACUUGUGGCAUGUUUUUGAGCUGCAGGGUCCAUGGGGCUGGAAUGCUGGCCUCGGGAAGGACUCUGGACAGGGUUUGGCAAUCGUAUGAACCACCAGGGUUCCUUCCCGCAAUCAGCCUGGCAUCGACUGGAUCAACAGCAGAGCCCUAUUCCCGGUCUGUGUUGAAAUUCUCUGUUGUCCUUUCAAAUCCUAAGUAAAGGUUUCCUCCCAUUGUGUACAUCGAGAAGCCUGACAGAGAAUUGUGUUCGGCAUUCUGUUUCUGGAAACCUCUCUCACAGAGGCCACCCAGAGGUGUUCGAGAGUUACCCCAGUGAUGGUCGGCGCUGAUGAUGCAACAGAGGCUACUAGCCAAGUCCGUGUGGCAAUAAAACUCAUCCCAGAGGAACAGAGGCAGAGAUAAGCAGGGGCAAAUCUAAGAAGGAUGUAGCAACAGCUCAAAAGAUCUAUCACUCAGACAACCAAGGUUGUAGGGAGUAGAGCAGGAACAGCGAGCGAACAGUCCUGAUAAACCAAUGCGGUAAUUGGAAGUGUUUCUGGUGAUGUGAAGGAGGACUCUGGAGGCCUCUGGGGUGAGAUAAGGCAAGCAAUCAACAUGUCAGGGUAAUUUGCUGGCCGUUCUGGCUUUGGGUCAGGUGCAUAAACCUGCCUGCUGUGAUGCAUGAAGCCUGCUAACCUGAGGAACUUGGUCAUAGAAGGGCAAUAGCAAAGUGGAGGCUGCUUGGGACUGACAAGAGGGGCCACCUGGCCCUGCAAAUGUGACAUCCACGCUGAGGAAGGGGGACCUUGAUUACAAACUGCUAUUGUAAGGGGAGGGGCGGGCGUGGCCUCCCCCUAGGAUGGCAGGGCCUGUCUCACAGCUACUGAGUGGUCCUUGAGGACGGUGGUCUCAAAAAGCUGCAAGGUGGGUAGAAAGGCUUUUGUGAAAGUUCCUCCAUACAGGCCAAAGGGACUCUACGUCAGCUGUCUGACCACCCACCGACUUUGCACACCCUUCCCUCUCACCGAAUCCACUCAGAUUACGCACACCGCUCCUCACUCUGUCGAUCUCGCACCUGACUCUGCACGCUUCCCACCGUCCUACGAAGUUCCCACCGACAGCGCACACCCCUCGCCACUUGGACGGUUUCGCUUCCCCUGGGCUCAGUUCAGAUCCCACCACCCAGCCCACUGACGCCACACAGAUUACGUAUUGCCGUGAAACCACUGGCGUUUUGCCCACUCAGUAUCUAUUCUUCCAUUCUGCCUCGAAGUUAAACCCUGGUUCUAUUUCCCAGCCUCCCUUGCUGCUACAUUUGGCCACGUAACCAAGUCCGGCCAAUGGGAUUUAGACAGAAGUCUUCAGGGGGGACAUCUGGGAAGGGUCCUUGAAAGGGGGCAGAAGGCUGGGGCAUAAACUUCUGCCCUUAGUCUUUAUAUUUUUCCCACCAGUUUUGAAAACAGAUAUGAUGGCUCAGAUCUCAUCAGUCGUCUUGUGCUUUUGAGAACAGAAGCCAGCAAAUACGAACGCUUGGUUCACAGGUUGGAGGGAACUUGGGUUCUUGAUAACGUCGUGGGACUAGAAUACCUCCUCUGCACCUUGUGUCUUUCAUCGCUUUCACGUGACAAAACGAACCCUUCGUGUCACUUAGGCUGCUCUAUCCGGGUCUCCGUUAUUACGGCUGAAGGUGAUUUCUCCGGACACGGUGCCCGCCGUGCUUCUGAGCCCACGCUGUGCACACACUCACUAGCUUCCUUGGCCAAUGUGCGUCCUCUGCAUGGUAUCAUCCGACUAUGAUGUUAAGUGAGUGGCACAACUAACUGUCUUUUUUUUGUUUUCAAUGCCAAGAGGAGUCUGUGCAUUUUCCUUUCGACUUCUCCAGUUGUAUAGAGGAGAACGGAUCAGACUCUCUGAGGUACACAAAUCGCAUUCUAUAAAUGUUCACGGGGCGGGGUUACCAGUGGCAAACGUUAUCAUUUCCUGGAGUAAAGCUGAGUCACGCCCACUACACUUCCCAAAGGGCUAUAUUUGGAAAGAAAAAAAAAAAUACACAUUCAUCUCUUUGCCUUGUCUUGAAUCUUUCCCCCUAGAAAAUCCAGAAGAAAUAAGACUGAAGGAUAUUACACCUGGAAGGCAGGAAGUGGGGGGGAUGGGCUGUCCACCACAGGGCCCUGAUGUGAGUGGCUCCCCAGAGGGGUGAAGAGCCGGGGGCUGGCCUGGUCCCACUGCUCAGCUGCCGGCAGGGUCCUGGGGGCUUUGCUAUGGUCAAGCUCUUACUCUGUUCCGGGGCCUCCUUUGCCUCUUGGGAGAAGCCCCUUCCCCAGGCUCCAGCACGGCGGGGCAGGGAGAGGGGGUCCUCCGAGAAGCCGCGUGUGACGGUGAACGGUUCCUCCACCGAGAAGUCUUCAGGCUGCAGAGAGCAAGGCGGAGAAGGACAUGACUGAAAUCUGCAGGUGGGAAGUGGUUACCUAGGGCACAAAACCUCCUCGGGGUCCCCGCAGAACGAGGAGGCGUGGCCCGAGGCUCGCAAGCAGCGGAUCUGGGAGAACAAUGAAAAGACACGACCUUACACGGGGCGCCCGUGGGUGUCCGGGCCCCGCACUGCUCGGCCUCUACUCUUCUCGCGUGGUCGAAGGGCCUAGAAGAAGCGGGGGGGGGGGGGGGGGUGGUCUGCACGACCGUCUUCACGAGGCGCGUCACCGCCAGCGGCAACUGGCAGGCGGGGCCCGUGACGCCUCGGUGGCCUCAGGUUAUUUGUGAGACCUGGGGUCCUGGGGAGUCACACGUGUGAGUCACGGUCACGCGCUCAUUCUGCUCUUUGCCGAUUCCGUGGGCAUUGGCAUUCGCAGAGUCAUUUCUCUGAAAACGUAACAAGGGGAAAACAAUAAGCCCUAAUUUUUCAGUGAUGGAUUUCCCGUCGUUUUCACGUCAGGAGCCCUCCGUCCGGCCCACGCGGCCCACCUCGGCCUCUGGACGUCAUUCUUACGUUGGGACACAGCCCGCGAUGCAGAAGCCGCAGCUGCGGGCCCUCGUUCUCUCCAGUCUGUCCCCGGCGCUGACCUGUUGGAAGAGACCAGUCACUUAUCCCACCGGAGCGUCAGCUCCCUCCCUCCUUUGCAAAAUGAAGUGACACUUGCCCUGAGGACGGGCCACCCACGCAAGCCACCUGCUAGCGCGAGGGGGAGUGGGGCCUGCGCAGGUGUCCCGGGCCCCCUCGCUUCUUCUCCGGUGGCGCCGAUGACUCACAGCUUGUCGUGCAAGUCGGAAGGGGCGAGGAGCGGAGAGGGUUUCUGCUCUGAAAGGUGGCGGGGGGAUCCGUGCGAUCGUUGGUGGGGACUGAGGCUCCUCAACCCCCGGGGCGCAGGCUGAGGCCUCAGCCCUGGGAGAAAGUUACUUUCCUUCGCUGCUUUCUUUCUCCCACAAACCUCAGGCGAGUGGCUUCUGGGCUUUUUAAAGAAUCAACUGAUACUUACGAGGCUCAAGCUACAGUUAACGAAGCUUCUGCUGGUCUUUUCCAGCGGGCGAGUCUUCUGCGGCCUCACCGUAAGCUGGUUCGCUGUCCUCCGCCACCAGGCACCGCGGUGUUGACCUCUUAGGUGAACUGUGUGCGUGCCGGUGCGUGUGUAUAUGUGUGUGCGUGUGGGUGUGCGUGUGGAGGUAUGCGUGGGCGUGUGUGUAUGUGCGUGUUAGUAUGCGUGCAGGUGCACGUGUGUGUGCCUGUGGAGGUACCUGUGGGCACGUGUGUAUGCGUGUGUUUGUGUGUGCGUGUCUCUGUGUGUGCACGUGUGUGCACGUGGGUGUAUGUGUGAGUGCGUGCGGGUGUGCACUGUGUCUGUGUGUGCACGUGUGUGCACGUGGGUGUAUGAGUGUGUGUGGGUGUGCACUGUCUGCGUGUGCACGUGGCUGUACGUGUGAGUGCGUGUGGGUGUGCACUGUGUGUCUGCGUGUGGGUGUGCACUGUCUGUGCACGUGGGUGUAUGUGUGUGUGUGGGUGUGCGGGUGUGCACUGUGUGUCUGCGUGUGCACGUGGGUGUAUGUGUGAGUGCGUGUGGGUGUGCGGGUGUGCACUGUGUCUGCGUGUGCACGUGUGUGCAUGUGGGUGUAUCUGUGAGCGUGUGCGGGUGUGCACUGUGUGCGUGUGCACAUGGGUGUAUGUGUGAGUGCGUGUGGGUGUGCACUGUCUGUGUGUGCACGUGGGUGUACGUGAGUGCGUGUGGGUGUGCGGGUGUGCACUGUCUCCGUGUGUGCACGUGGGUGUACGUGUGAGUGCGUGCGGGUGUGCACUGUGUGUCUGCGUGUGGGUGUGCACUGUCUCUGUGCACGUGGGUGUACGUGUGAGUGCGUGUGUGCACUGUGUGUCUGCGUGUGCACGUGGGUGUACGUGUGAGUGCGUGGGGGUGUGCACUGUCUCUGUGUGUACACGUCUGUGCACGUGGGUGUACGUGUGAGUGCGUGUGGGUGUGCGUGUGUGCCCCGUGUGUCUGCGUGCGCACGUGUGUGCAUGCAUGUGUAAGUAUGUAUACACGUGCAUGUGUGCGUACAUGUGUGUCCCUCUCACGAGUCACAGAGAUCCCGUGCCCCCUCUUCUACCUACGUGGCUCGCAGCCAAGCUCGGACGGACCCUGUGGCGGUCCCUGCGCCCGAAAACCCUCCUGUGAGGAAGCCCCUCAAGAGGGGCCGUCGCGGGGAGUCGUAGGCGAGCUGAUCCCGGAGGCGGAGCAGGGCCCCUUCCGCGGGCUCUUUGCCAAGAGCCAGUCUCUGGAGGGAGGUGAUGGAGAUGUGGACACUUCGUCCCAGAAGCGGCUAACGCCGUGCACGCGGGCUGCCUGUGGUCCUGUCGCCUGGUGGCCCUGGCGUGUCCCCACGUCCCGCGGUGGCCCGGGCGCCGGCUCCUCGCACUGGGGCCCCCAGGCUGUGUGGAUGGCCGUCCACACCGAGGGCGGCCCCUCCCCGUCCAUCCCGCCCGGGAAGUGUCGGGGGGACAGGUGCGCUCCUGAGAAGAACCAGCUUCUUUGAGAGGGUUUGCUCUCCAGAAACGGUAGAAGUGUAGGAUCGUUGAGACGAAGGAGGGUCUCGGAAGCCUUGCGGGGCAAAGUCCCUGUUUUCUAGACGGGGACCCUGGGGUCCGGAGAGGCUCAGUGACUCACUGCCGGGUCUGCCGCGCGAUAGCAUCUGUGUGGCGAUGAUGGUGCAGGUUUCUUGGUUUCUAAUUAAAUGAUCGUUUCUACUGAAUCUUUUUGUAAUCAGGAAGAAGACAGUCUUUUGACGCACACCUCCAGGAGGGUUAGGGCAGAUGCGAGAAUCGGCGGAUUUAUUGUCUGGCCGCAGUGGCCACUCUAAGAGAAAUGGCUCUGAGUUAGCUUUAAGAAGCAGUCAGGGUCUCCGACACGCACAAAUAAAUUGUAAUGUCCCGUCCACGUCUCCCAGGGCUCCUCAUUUCUCCUUGUGUCUAUGGUUCCAACUCCCAGUGUCCUCUGUCUUCAUAAACCGAAAAGCACGAGAGGUGCCGGUAGGAGCUUCUAGAACAUGUCUGCCUUUCCCCUCCCCCUCCUUCCUCUUCCUCCUCCGUUUCUCCUCCCCCUCCCCCUCCUCCCCUUCUC